AUAAAGUUUUAUUUUGGCUUAAAAAUUUAUUAUUAAUUUAUUUUAUAUGUAAUUUUUUGAGUGAAUUUAUAUUUAAUUUAAUAAUAAAUAUAUUUUUAUAUUAAAUCGCAGUAAUUAGUAUUAUUAAUUAAAGAAAUUUAGAAAUAGUAAUUUUAAAGAGUGUUGACUAAAUUUGUGCCAGCAGUCGCGGUUAUACAAAUAACACAAGUAAAUUUUUUUAGUAAUAGUUAAAUUUUAUUAAAGAAAUUAAAAAUAAAUUUAUUAGGUGAAAUUUUAAAUUUAUAUAAAUUUUAUAAAUAUUAAUUGAAGCUAAGAAAUUUUUAAUAUAAACUAGGAUUAGAUACCCUAUUAUUAAAAAUGUAAAUUAUUUACUUAAGUAGUAAUAGUUAUGUUCUUGAAACUUAAAAAAUUUGGCGGUAUUUUAGUCUAUUCAGAGGAACCUGUUCUGUAAUCGAUAAUCCACGUUGGACCUUACUUAAGUUUGUUUUUCAGUUUAUAUACCGUCGUUAUCAGAAUAUUUUAUAAGAAAAAUAAUUUUCAAUAAUUUAAAUUAAAAUAUAUAUCAGAUCAAGGUGUAGCUUAUAUUUAAGUAGAAAUGGGUUACAAUAAAAUUAUUUUUGGAUAUAAUUAUGAAAAAUUUAUUGAAAUUGGAUUUGAUAGUAAAAUUAUAAAGAUUAUUAAUUUGAUUAUAGCUCUAAAAUAUGUACACAUCGCCCGUCGCUCUUAUUAAUAAGAUAAGAUAAGUCGUAACAUAGUAGAUGUACUGGAAAGUGUAUCUAGAAUUCA
rnacentral:ncRNA from 1 species